AGUAGGUGGUAUGAAAUCUGAGACUAUCUAUGCUAUGUUACAAAUGGGUAAUAUGAAUAUUUAACUUCAUAUUACCCAUUUGUAACAUAGCAUAGAUAGUCUCAGAUUUCAUACCACCUACU